rnacentral:rRNA from 1 species
GACGAACGCUGGCGGCGUGCCUAAUACAUGCAAGUCGAACGCAUUUUCUUUCACCGUAGCUUGCUACACCGAAAGAAAAUGAGUGGCGAACGGGUGAGUAACACGUGGGUAACCUGCCCAUCAGCGGGGGAUAACACUUGGAAACAGGUGCUAAUACCGCAUAAUUCCAUUUACCGCAUGGUAGAUGGGUGAAAGGCGCUUUUGCGUCACUGAUGGAUGGACCCGCGGUGCAUUAGCUAGUUGGUGGGGUAACGGCCUACCAAGGCUGCGAUGCAUAGCCGACCUGAGAGGGUGAUCGGCCACACUGGGACUGAGACACGGCCCAGACUCCUACGGGAGGCAGCAGUAGGGAAUCUUCGGCAAUGGACGCAAGUCUGACCGAGCAACGCCGCGUGAGUGAAGAAGGGUUUCGGAUCGUAAAACUCUGUUGUUAGAGAAGAACAAGGGUGAGAGUGGAAAGUUCAUCCCUUGACGGUAGCUAACCAGAAAGCCACGGCUAACUACGUG